rnacentral:rRNA from 1 species
GACGAACCGAGCGAACGUUGUUCGGAAUCACUGGGCGUAAAGGGUGCGUAGGCGGCGCGGUAAGUCGGGUGUGAAAUCUCGGAGCUUAACUCCGAAACUGCAUUCGAUACUGCCGUGCUUGAGGACUGGAGAGGAGACUGGAAUUUACGGUGUAGCGGUGAAAUGCGUAGAUAUCGUAAGGAAGACCAGUGGCGAAGGCGGGUCUCUGGACAGUUCCUGACGCUGAGGCACGAAGGCCAGGGGAGCAAACGGG